rnacentral:rRNA from 1 species
CACCAUGGGAGUGGGUUGCAAAAGAAGUAGGUAGCUUAACCUUCGGGAGGGCGCUUACCACUUUGUGAUUCAUGACUGGGGUGAAGUCGUAACAAGGUAACCGUAGGGGAACCUGCGGUUGGAUCACCUCCUUACCUUAAAGAANGUACUUUGCAGUGCUCACACAGAUUGUCUGAUGAAAAUGAGCAGUAAAACCUCUACAGGCUUGUAGCUCAGGUGGUUAGAGCGCACCCCUGAUAAGGGUGAGGUCGGUGGUUCAAGUCCACUCAGGCCUACCAAAUUUGCACGGCAAAUUUGAAGAGGUUUUAACUACAUGUUAUGGGGCUAUAGCUCAGCUGGGAGAGCGCCUGCUUUGCACGCAGGAGGUCUGCGGUUCGAUCCCGCAUAGCUCCACCAUCUCUGUAGUGAUUAAAUAAAAAAUACUUCAGAGUGUACCUGCAAAGGUUCACUGCGAAGUUUUGCUCUUUAAAAAUCUGGAUCAAGCUGAAAAUUGAAACACUGAACAACGCAAGUUGUUCGUGAGUCUCUCAAAUUUUCGCAACACGAUGAUGAAUCGAAAGAANGUGACUGCGUACCUUUUGUAUAAUGGGUCAGCGACUUAUAUUCUGUAGCAAGGUUAACCGAAUAGGGGAGCCGAAGGGAAACCGAGUCUUAACCGGGCGUUAAGUUGCAGGGUAUAGACCCGAAACCCGGUGAUCUAGCCAUGGGCAGGUUGAAGGUUGGGUAACACUAACUGGAGGACCGAACCGACUAAUGUUGAAAAAUUAGCGGAUGACUUGUGGCUGGGGGUGAAAGGCCAAUCAAACCGGGAGAUAGCUGGUUCUCCCCGAAAGCUAUUUAGGUAGCGCCUCGUGAAUUCAUCUCCGGGGGUAGAGCACUGUUUCGGCAAGGGGGUCAUCCCGACUUACCAACCCGAUGCAAACUGCGAAUACCGGAGAAUGUUAUCACGGGAGACACACGGUGGGUGCUAACGUCCGUCGUGAAGAGGGAAACAACCCAGACCGCCAGCUAAGGUCCCAAAGUCAUGGUUAAGUGGGAAACGAUGUGGGAAGGCCCAGACAGCCAGGAUGUUGGCUUAGAAGCAGCCAUCAUUUAAAGAAAGCGUAAUAGCUCACUGGUCGAGUCGGCCUGCGCGGAAGAUGUAACGGGGCUAAACNAUGCUGGAGGUAUCAGAAGUGCGAAUGCUGACAUAAGUAACGAUAAAGCGGGUGAAAAGCCCGCUCGCCGGAAGACCAAGGGUUCCUGUCCAACGUUAAUCGGGGCAGGGUGAGUCGACCCCUAAGGCGAGGCCGAAAGGCGUAGUCGAUGGGAAACAGGUUAAUAUUCCUGUACUUGGUGUUACUGCGAAGGGGGGACGGAGAAGGCUAUGUUGGCCGGGCGACGGUUGUCCCGGUUUAAGCGUGUAGGCUGGUUUUCCAGGCAAAUCCGGAAAAUCAAGGCUGAGGCGUGAUGACGAGGCACUACGGUGCUGAAGCAACAAAUGCCCUGCUUCCAGGAAAAGCCUCUAAGCAUCAGGUAACAUCAAAUCGUACCCCAAACCGACACAGGUGGUCAGGUAGAGAAUACCAAGGCGUUUGAGAGAACUCGGGUGAAGGAACUAGGCAAAAUGGUGCCGUAACUUCGGGAGAAGGCACGCUGAUAUGUAGGUGAAGUCCCUCGCGGAUGGAGCUGAAAUCAGUCGAAGAUACCAGCUGGCUGCAACUGUUUAUUAAAAACACAGCACUGUGCAAACACGAAAGUGGACGUAUACGGUGUGACGCCUGCCCGGUGCCGGAAGGUUAAUUGAUGGGGUCAGCGCAAGCGAAGCUCUUGAUCGAAGCCCCGGUAAACGGCGGCCGUAACUAUAACGGUCCUAAGGUAGCGAAAUUCCUUGUCGGGUAAGUUCCGACCUGCACGAAUGGCGUAAUGAUGGCCAGGCUGUCUCCGCCCGAGACUCAGUGAAAUUGAACUCGCUGUGAAGAUGCAGUGUACCCGCGGCAAGACGGAAAGACCCCGUGAACCUUUACUAUAGCUUGACACUGAACAUUGAGCCUUGAUGUGUAGGAUAGGUGGGAGGCUUUGAAGUGUGGACGCCAGUCUGCAUGGAGCCGACCUUGAAAUACCACCCUUUAAUGUUUGAUGUUCUAACGUGGACCCGUGAUCCGGGUUGCGGACAGUGUCUGGUGGGUAGUUUGACUGGGGCGGUCUCCUCCUAAAGAGUAACGGAGGAGCACGAAGGUUGGCUAAUCCUGGUCGGACAUCAGGAGGUUAGUGCAAUGGCAUAAGCCAGCUUGACUGCGAGCGUGACGGCGCGAGCAGGUGCGAAAGCAGGUCAUAGUGAUCCGGUGGUUCUGAAUGGAAGGGCCAUCGCUCAACGGAUAAAAGGUACUCCGGGGAUAACAGGCUGAUACCGCCCAAGAGUUCAUAUCGACGGCGGUGUUUGGCACCUCGAUGUCGGCUCAUCACAUCCUGGGGCUGAAGUAGGUCCCAAGGGNGGGCGCUGGAGAACUGAGGGGGGCUGCUCCUAGUACGAGAGGACCGGAGUGGACGCAUCACUGGUGUUCGGGUUGUCAUGCCAAUGGCACUGCCCGGUAGCUAAAUGCGGAAGAGAUAAGUGCUGAAAGCAUCUAAGCACGAAACUUGCCCCGAGAUGAGUUCUCCCUGACCCUUUAAGGGUCCUGAAGGAACGUUGAAGACGACGACGUUGAUAGGCCGGGUGUGUAAGCGCAGCGAUGCGUUGAGCUAACCGGUACUAAUGAACCGUGAGGCUUAACCUU